GGAUAGCUCAGUUGGUUAGAGCAUGGUGCUGAUAAUGCUGAGGCUGCAGGUUCAAUACCCGUAUGUGACAGCUGCA